AUAAUAGUCCAACAGUAUAUAUAGAAAGGAAAAUCGUUUGUUGGACUUUGGACUUCUAAUCCAAAGGUUGUGUGUUCGAAUCCCACCUGGGAUG